rnacentral:tRNA from 1 species
GGGCCGGUGGCAGAGCCGGGUUAUUGCAGCGCCGACAAGCCGACAGCCGGGUACGCACGGCGACCUGAAAGCGCGUGGGGCCGCUGGCGUGCCAUGCCCCACCAGGGGUUCAAAUCCCCUUCGGCCCG